GACGAACGCUGGCGGCGUGCUUAACACAUGCAAGUCGAACGGAGAGGCCCUGCUUUUGUGGGGUGCUCGAGUGGCGAACGGGUGAGUAACACGUGAGUAACCUGCCCUUGACUUUGGGAUAACUUCAGGAAACUGGGGCUAAUACCGGAUAGGAGCUCCUGCUGCAUGGUGGGGGUUGGAAAGUUUCGGCGGUUGGGGAUGGACUCGCGGCUUAUCAGCUUGUUGGUGGGGUAGAGGCUUACCAAGGCUUUGACGGGUAGCCGGCCUGAGAGGGUGACCGGCCACAUUGGGACUGAGAUACGGCCCAGACUCCUACGGGAGGCAGCAGUGGGGAAUAUUGCACAAUGGGCGGAAGCCUGAUGCAGCAACGCCGCGUGCGGGAUGACGGCCUUCGGGUUGUAAACCGCUUUCGCCUGUGACGAAGCGUGAGUGACGGUAAUGGGUAAAGAAGCACCGGCUAACUACGUG
rnacentral:rRNA from 1 species